AUACAAAGAGAAGCGACCUCGCGAGAGCAAGCGGACCUCAUAAAGUGCGUCGUAGUCCGGAUUGGAGUCUGCAACUCGACUCCAUGAAGUCGGAAUCGCUAGUAAUCGUGGAUCAGAAUGCCACGGUGAAUACGUUCCCGGGCCUUGUACACACCGCCCGUCACACCAUGGGAGUGGGUUGCAAAAGAAGUAGGUAGCUUAACCUUCGGGAGGGCGCUUACCACUUUGUGAUUCAUGACUGGGGUGAAGUCGUAACAAGGUAACCGUAGGGGAACCUGCGGUUGGAUCACCUCCUUACCUGAAAGAAGC
rnacentral:rRNA from 3 species